rnacentral:rRNA from 1 species
UACGGGGGGGGCAAGCGUUGUUCGGAAUUACUGGGCGUAAAGGGUUUGUAGGUGGCUUGCUAAGUCAGACGUGAAAUCCCUCAGCUUAACUGGGGAACUGCGUCUGAUACUGGUGAGCUUGAGUGCAGGAGAGGAACGCGGAAUUCCAGGUGUAGCGGUGAAAUGCGUAGAUAUCAGGAGGAACACCGGUGGUGUAGACGGCUUUCUGGACCGUAACUGACGCUGAGACACGAAAGCGUGGGUAGCAAACAGG